rnacentral:SRP_RNA from 1 species
GCUGGGUGCAUGGCGCGUACCUGUAGUCCCAGCUACUCAGGAGGCUGAGGUGGGAGGAUCACUUGAGCCCAGGAGUUCUGGGCUGUAGUGUGUUAUGCCAAUCGGGUGUCCGCACUACGUUCGACAUCAAUAUGAUGACCUCCUGGGAGCAGGGGACCACCAGGUUGCCUAAGGAGGGGUGAACCGGCCCAGGUGGGAAAUGGAGCAGGUCAAAACUCCCAUGCUGAUCAGUAGUGGGAUUGCGCCUAUGAAUAGCCACUGUACUCCAGCCUGGGCAACAUAGUGAGAACUCGUCUCU